rnacentral:ribozyme from 1 species
AGGGAGGAGAUUGAUGCGUGCACUCUUGUCUCCAUGCAUGCAUACACGCACACGUACACGUACAGGUACAUGUACACAAAAAUGCGUUUAUUUUCACACAUGCGUGCAAGCAAAAAAGAAAGGAAAACAUGUCUGA